UAUCGGAGGUGGAGGAGGAUAUGGAGGUUUUAUCAGAGGACCUGGUCGUUCGUGGUGUACCUGCCGCCCCGGUUAUUGCCGUAAAUCGGAGCUUACUUUGGACAGAAAUUGCAGACAAGCACCAAUGUAUCCAUAUAAUUGGAAUACCUGUUGUCAGUGGUAUCCAUGGUGGGUAACAAACCGAAACUACGGAUAUGGUGGUGGACUCGGUGGUGGACUAGCUGGGGGACUAAGUGGUGGAAUCGGUGGUGGAAUCGGUGGUGGAAUCGGUGGUGUAAUAGGCGGUGGCUUAGGGGGAGGAGUAGGUGGUGGAGUAGGUGGUGGAAUAGGCGGUGGCUUAGGCGGAGGAUUAGGCGGUGGAAUAGGCGGAGGAAAAAAGUCAUAUUAAAAUAAAAGGAUACAAUCAAAGAUUACAGUAUAAUGCAUUUUCUUAAAUAAAAUGUAUUUUGCAUAUA